UGUAGGGCUUUUCCUUUUGUAUUCAAAUGCAGAGAAAAUUCCCUUGUGGAAUCCCAUGGAUAGGAUAAUUUUACCUUGGAAUAAAAGUCGGACCGGUGCUCUUCUUCAUUCUCACAGAAGAGCGCGGCAUUGUGGAUGUGCUUCUUCGCAGGUACAUCCAAGAAGGUUGUUGUUCGCCAGACCGGAAGAUCCUAAUAUUGUUCGGUGCACAAUAAAACCCUAACAAACUGUGACCGACCUUUCUUCCUGGGCCCUUUUACUUUGUCAUCGCAUGAAAUGUUGUUGCAAGAUGGUUAGAGGAUCGUCGAUUGCCACAAUUUUGACGUUCUUCACCUACAACAAAGGACAAAGUGGGGAGCAGAAGUGCUUCACUACAAAGCAAAAAGGACUCACAAGGAAAACAGUGAAUGGUUGUCCACAUCUCGGUGAAUUAUUGCACACCUACUUCAGAGAUUCCCUUGUGCUGACUGCGACUUCUAAGAAGUAAUUAUGAUAUCAGAAUAUCUGCAUGCAUGUCAUAAUUAAGGACCUCAACUUUUGAUGUAUUUGAAAUCUUGCACUGUCGCCAUUUUUAGUAGCUACAAUUUCCAGAUAACAGAAGUUCCUGAUUUUGGUGAACGCCCUUGGAAUAUCCAGAUUCACAAGUUUCUUUCUUGUGGGGAGUGUAUGAAGAUUAAAAGAAAGCGAUCAGUUUCAUUUAUAUAACCAACUAUAUCGAUUAUUCUUUCUCUAGCUAAGCCUACACAAAUUGCUUCUCAAGUUGCUGGUUACUCUCACUCUUUUAAAUCCUGAAACCAUAUGUU